rnacentral:lncRNA from 1 species
UGUAACUGUGCUUUCCUUACCAAGGGUGGGUGUUUAAUCAGGUAUGAGUGGCAUCAGAGCCAAAUGAAUCAUAGAAUCACAGCAUCAUUAGGGUUGGAAGAGACCUCCAAGACCAUCUGGUCCAACCAUCACCCUACUGCCAGUGUUACCCACUAAACCAUGUCCCUAAGCACCACGUCCAACCUUUCCUUGAACACCCCCAGGGACGGUGACUCCACCACCUCCCUGGGCAACCCGUUCCAGUGCCUGACUGCUCUUUCUGAGAAGAAAUGUCUCCUCAUUUCCAACCUAAACAUCCCCUGGCACAACUUGAGGCCAUUCCCCCUAGUCCUAUCACUAUUUACGUGUGAGAAGAGGCUGACCCCUGCUACCCACAACUUCCAUUGUAAAAUGAAAGCACUGCAUGCUUUGCUUGAAGAUGGAGGAAGCCAGCAACAUAGCAGCAGAAGGGACCAAGGAAGGGUGGCGAGGCCCUCACCUUGCUCCCUGCUCUCCUGGCAGUCUCUUGGUUCAAGCAUUCAUCUGGGAUACAAGUUCAAUUUACUCUUCUGA